GCUGUAGUUCAGUUGGUUAGAGCGCCAGGUUGUGGCCCUGGAGGUCGUGGGUUCGAGUCCCAUCAG
rnacentral:tRNA from 1 species